GGCGUGCCUAACACAUGCAAGUCGAACGAGAACGGAACUAGCUUGCUAGUUUGUCAGCUAAGUGGCGCACGGGUGAGUAAUAUAUAGUUAAUCUGCCCCAAAGAAGAGAAUAAUUGUUGGAAACGACUUGUAACGCUCUAUAUGCCUUUAUUACAUAAGUAAGCAAGGGAAACAUUUAUGGCUUUGGGAUGAGACUGUACGGUAUCAGCUAGUUGGUGAGGUAAUGGCUCACCAAGGCUAUGACAUCUAACUGGUUUGAGAGGAUGAUCAGUCACACUGGAACUGAGACACGGUCCAGACUCCUACGGGAGGCAGCAGUGGGGAAUAUUGCACAAUGGAGGAAACUCUGAUGCAGCAACGCCGCGUGGAGGAUGACACAUUUCGGUGCGUAAACUCCUUUUAUUAGGGAAGAUAAUGACGGUACCUAAUGAAUAAGCACCGGCUAACUCCGUGCCAGCAGCCGCGGUAAUACGGGGGGUGCAAGCGUUACUCGGAAUCACUGGGCGUAAAGAGAAUGUAGGCUGGUUAUUAAGUUGGAAGUGAAAUCCUAUGGCUCAACCAUAGAACUGCUUCCAAAACUGAUUACCUAGAAUAUGGGAGAGGUAGAUGGAAUUUCUGGUGUAGGGGUAAAAUCCGUAGAGAUCAGAAGGAAUACCGAGUGCGAAGGCGAUCUACUGCAACAUUAUUGACGCUGAGAUUCGAAAGCGU
rnacentral:rRNA from 1 species